AUUGUGGGAAGGUCGUGAUUUAAUCGCGCGUCGCGUUGAUUCCUCCAGGCCACAUAAAGCACUGUUGCGUGGGAGUCCAUUCUUUACUAAUUUCUGGAUAAAUUAAUAUUGAAGUAAAUUACUUUUGAAAAGCAUUAUACUAGCAUAAGCAAACCAUGGCAAACUUUUGCGCAGCUCCAAAUUGCACCAUAAAAAGUAAUCGGUCAGCAUCGCUAUUCAAGUUUCCAAUGGACACUGAAACAUGCAAGCAGUGGGUGGAAAACUGUCAUGGCAAGGAUCUUGAAGAUAAAACACCUGACCAGCUGAACAGACACUACAGACUUUGUGCUAAGCAAUUUGAACCAUCCAUGAUUUGUAAAGCAAGUGAAGAUGAAGCAAGGCAAAUGAAAUUGAGGAAAAAUUCUCUCAAGCUCUGUCAGGUUGGAUGGGGAGCGUCGCUGUACAGCUAUUUACAGAUCUCUCCAGAAAUGUUCGAUCGGUUCAAGUCCGGGCUCUGGAUGGGCCACUCAAGGACAAUCAGAGACUUGUCCCAAAGCCACUCCUGUGUUGUCCUGUUGGAAGGUGAACCUUCACCCCUGUCUGAGGUCCUGAGCACUCUGGAGCAGGUUUUCAUCAAGGAGCUCUCUGUACUUUGCUCCGUACAUCUUUCCCUCAAUCCUGACUUGUCUCACUGCCACUGAAAAACAUCCCCAUAGCAUGAUGAUUAUGCUGCCAGCACCACCGUGUUUCACCGUAGGGAUGGUGCCAGGUUUCCUCCAGACGUGAUGCUUGGCAUUCAGGCUAAAGAGUUCAAUCUUGGUUUCAUCAGACCAGAGAAUCUUGUUUUUCAUGAUCCUUUAGAAUUUGCCAAAAGGCACCUAAGCGGGCUGUCAUGUGCCCUUCACUGAGGAGUGGCUUCCAUCUGGCCACUGUAUUGGCCUGAUUGGCGGAGUGCUGCAGAAAUGGUUGUCCUUCUGGAAGAUUCUCCCAUCUCCAGAGGAAAUCUGGAGCUCUGUCAGAGUGACCAUCAGGUUCUUGGUCAUCUCUUUGACCAAUGCCCUUCUCCACUGAUUGCUCAGUUUGGCCUGGUGACCAGCUCUAGGAAGAGUCUUGGUGGUUCCAAACUUCUUACAUUUAGGAAUGAUGGAGGCCACUGUGUUCUUGGGGACCUUCAAAUCUGCAGAUUUUUUUUGGUACCCUUCCCCAGAUCUGUGCCUCGACACAAUCUUGUCUCUGCGCUCUACGGACAAUUCCUUCAACCUCAUGGCUUGGUUUUUGCUCUGACAUACACUGUCAACUGUGGGACCUUUUAUAUAGGCAGGUUUGUGCCUUUCCAAAUAAUGUCCAAUCAAUUGAAUUUACCACAGGUGGACUCCAAUAAAGUUGUAGUAACACCAAGGAGGAUCAAAGGAAACAAUGCACCUGAGCUUAAUUUCGAGUCUCAUAGCAAAGGUUCUGAAUACUUAUUUAAAUAUGCUAUUUUUUAUUUGUAAUACAUCAACAACAAAAACUAUAAGCUCUUUUCUCUUUGUCAUUAUGGGGAAUUGGGUGUAAAUUGAGGGGGGGGGUAUUUCAAUUUUAGAAUAAAGCUGUAACAUAAAAUGUGGAUAAAGUCAAGGGGUCUGCAUACUUUCUGAAUGCUUUGCAAUGCAAUAAUAUUCUAGGAUUAAAUUGAAUGACUAGUGUGGAUGUAUUUCCCUUUUCAUCAUGAGACAAUGCCCUAUCACUGAGGCUAGGUAACAUGGUCACCACCGAUUAAAUCCAUGAUUAUCGAAAACUUCAUGCCAUGCCUUCCUCCUGGCUACUCCAAACUCGGCCAACAGCCCCCCCGCAGCUACUCGUCCAAGCUUCUCCAGCUUCUCCUUUACCCAAAACCAGAUAGCAGAUGUUCUGAAAGAGCUGCAAAACCUGGACCCGUACAAAUCAGCUGGGCUUGACAAUCUGGACCCUCUAUUUCUGAAACUAUCCGCCGCCAUUGUCGCAACCCCUAUUACCAGCCUGUUCAACCUCUCUUUCAUAUCGUCUAAGAUCCCCAAGGAUUGGAAAGCUGACGCAGUCAUCCCCCUCUUCAAAGGGGGAGACACCCUGGACCCAAACUGUUACAGACCUAUAUCCAUCCUGCCUAUCUAAGGUCUUCGAAAGUCAAGUCAACAAACAGGUCACUGACCAUCUCGAAUCCCACCGUACCUUCUCCGCUGUGCAAUCUGGUUUCCGAGCCGGUCACGGGUGCACCUCAGCCACGCUCAAGGUACUAAACGAUAUCAUAACCGACAUCGAUAAAAGACAGUACUGUGCAGCCGUCUUCAUCGACCUGGCCAAGGCUUUCGACUCUGUCAAUCACCAUAUUCUUAUCGGCAGACUCGGUAGCCUCGGUUUUUCUAAUGACUGCCUUGCCUGGUUCACCAACUACUUUGCAGACAGAGUUCAGUGUGUCAAAUCGGAGGGCAUGUUGUCCGGUCCUCUGGCAGUCUCUAUGGGGGUGCCACAGGGUUCAAUUCUCGGCCCGACUCUUUUCUCUGUAUAUAUAUCAAUGAUGUUGCUCUUGCUGCGGGCGAUUCCCUGAUCCACCUCUACGCAGACGACGCCAUUCUGUAUACUUCUGGCCCUUCCUUGGACACUGUGCUAUCUAACCUCCAAACGAGCUUCAAUGCCAUACAACACUCCUUCUGUUGCCUCCAACUGCUCUUAAACGCUAGUAAAACCAAAUGCAUGCUUUUCAACCGUUCGCUGCCUGCACCCGCACGCCCGACUAGCAUCACCACCCUGGAUGGUUCCGACCUAGAAUAUGUGGACAUCUAUAAGUACCUAGGUGUCUGGCUCCUUCCAGACUCGUAUCAAACAUCUCCAAUCGAAAAUCAAAUCUAGAGUCGGCUUUCUAUUCCGCAACAAAGUCUCCUUCACUCACGCCGCCAAACUUACCCUUGUAAAACUGACUAUCCUACCGAUCCUCGACUUUGGCGACGUCAUCUACAAAAUAGCCUCCAAUACUCUACUCAGCAAACUGGAUGCAGUUUAUCACAGUGCCAUCCGUUUUAUUACUAAAGCACCUUAUACCACCCACCACUGCGACCUGUAUGCUCUAGUCGGCUGGCCCUCGCUACAUAUUCGUCGCCAGACCCACUGGCUCCAGGUCAUCUACAAGUCCAUGCUAGGUAAAGCUCCGCCUUAUCUCAGUUCACUGGUCACGAUGGCAACACCCACCCGUAGCACGCGCUCCAGCAGGUGUAUCUCACUGAUCAUCCCUAAAGCCAACACCUCAUUCGGCCGCCUUUCGUUCCAAUUCUCUGCUGCCUGUGACUGGAACGAAUUGCAAAAAUCGCUGAAGUUGGAGACUUUUAUCUCCCUCACCAACUUCAAACAUCUGCUAUCUGAGCAGCUAACCGAUCGCUGCAGCUGUACAUAGUCUAUCGGUAAAUAGCCCACCCAAUUUACCUACCUCAUCCCCAUACUGUUUAUAUUUAUUUACUUUUCUGCUCUUUUGCACACCAGUAUCUCUACCUGUACAUGACCAUCUGAUCAUUUAUAUUCCAGUGUUAAUUUGCAAAAUUGUAAUUAUUCGCCUACCUCCUCAUGCCUUUUGCACACAAUGUAUAUAGACUAUUUUUUUCCUUUUUUUCUACUGUGUUAUUGACUUGUUAAUUGUUUACUCCAUGUGUAACUCUGUGUUGUUGUCUGUUCACACUGCUAUGCUUUCUUGGCCAGGUCGCAGUUGUAAAUGAGAACUUGUUCUCAACUAGCCUACCUGGUUAAAUAAAGGUAAAAUAAAAAAAUAUCACAGGACCCACAUAAGCAAAAAGUUACACUAAUCUUAUUUUUAAUCAAUAUUACUUCA